rnacentral:misc_RNA from 1 species
UUUCCGUAGGUGAACCUGCGGAAGGAUCAUUAUUGUAUAACCCAGGCGCGAUGGCUGUGCCUGACCCGGAAGGUCGUGCACGUCCCAGCGCCCCCACACUCAUCCAUCUCACCCCUAUUUGCACCACUGCGUGGGUUAUCCUCUGCCUUGUUCGGAGGAGGGCUUACUUUUUCACACAUACUCUUUUUGUAGCGUAGUAUGUCUUUUUUCUUUUUGCGAUUUCGCAAUCACUACAAUUUUCAACAACGCAUCUCUUGACACUCGCAUCGAUGAAUAACG